GUUGGCACUUUAAAUCUCCAUCGCAAAGCAACUUUCUCAAAAAGGCAUUUAGGUUUUUGUCCAGACCAUAACGUUUUCAACAUUUAAUGUUUGUGAAUAUUCUGUCAAUCCUCAUUCUUAGCUGAUGGGUCUGCUAAAUUGGGAAGCUUGGGUUCAUACAGAUUGUACUUGGUAGAUAGAAUUCUAUACACCAACUUGUUUUUGUUGAGCUGCUUGAAGCAAACAGGAGUUAAAAUGUGGUCGUGAACGAUUGUUCGUGAGCCUGAAUAAUAUUAAUUGCCCUAGUAUAUAUUGUGAGUUAAUUAUCUAAGAAUUAUUCGGUCAUGGGCAUUUUACUAAAG